GGAGCACUAUAGCCUUGAGUUUUGCUUACCUUUUAAAAGGUAAGUAAAACUCAAGGCUAUAGUGCUCC